AGUGAACGCUGGCGGUAGGCCUAACACAUGCAAGUCGAACGGCAGCACAGUAAGAGCUUGUUCUUACGGGUGGCGAGUGGCGGACGGGUGAGGAAUACAUCGCAAUUUACUUUUUCGUGGGGGAUAACGUAGGGAAACUUACGCUAAUACCGCAUACGACCUACGGGUGAAAGCAGGGGAUCUUCGGACCUUGCGCGAUUGAAUGAGCCGAUGUCGGAUUAGCUAGUUGGCGGGGUAAAGGCCCACCAAGGCGACGAUCCGUAGCUGGUCUGAGAGGAUGAUCAGCCACACUGGAACUGAGACACGGUCCAGACUCCUACGGGAGGCAGCAGUGGGGAAUACUGGACAAUGGGCGCAAGCCUGAUCCAGCCAUGCCGCGUGGGUGAAGAAGGCCUUCGGGUUGUAAAGCCCUUUUAUUGGGAAGGAAAAGCAGCAGGUUAAUACCCCGCUGUUCUGACGGUACCCAAAGAAUAAGCACCGGCUAACUUCGUG
rnacentral:rRNA from 1 species